UCAUGGCUCAGAUUGAACGCUGGCGGCAGGCCUAACACAUGCAAGUCGAGCGGAAACGACACUAACAAUCCUUCGGGUGCGUUAAUGGGCGUCGAGCGGCGGACGGGUGAGUAAUGCCUAGGAAAUUGCCUUGAUGUGGGGGAUAACCAUUGGAAACGAUGGCUAAUACCGCAUAAUGCCUACGGGCCAAAGAGGGGGACCUUCGGGCCUCUCGCGUCAAGAUAUGCCUAGGUGGGAUUAGCUAGUUGGUGAGGUAAUGGCUCACCAAGGCGACGAUCCCUAGCUGGUCUGAGAGGAUGAUCAGCCACACUGGAACUGAGACACGGUCCAGACUCCUACGGGAGGCAGCAGUGGGGAAUAUUGCACAAUGGGCGAAAGCCUGAUGCAGCCAUGCCGCGUGUAUGAAGAAGGCCUUCGGGUUGUAAAGUACUUUCAGUUGUGAGGAAGGGUGUGUAGUUAAUAGCUGCGCAUCUUGACGUUAGCAACAGAAGAAGCACCGGCUAACUCCGUGCCAGCCGCC
rnacentral:rRNA from 1 species